rnacentral:rRNA from 1 species
GACGAACGCUGGCGGCGUGCUUAACACAUGCCAGUCGAACGAAGAGCGAUGGAAGCUUGCUUCUAUCAAUCUUAGUGGCGAACGGGUGAGUAACGCGUAAUCAACCUGCCCUUCAGAGGGGGACAACAGUUGGAAACGACUGCUAAUACCGCAUACGAUCUAAACUCGGCAUCGAGGAUAGAUGAAAGGUGGCCUCUACAGGUAAGCUAUCACUGAAGGAGGGGAUUGCGUCUGAUUAGCUAGUUGGAGGGGUAACGGCCCACCAAGGCGAUGAUCAGUAGCCGGUCUGAGAGGAUGAACGGCCACAUUGGGACUGAGACACGGCCCAGACUCCUACGGGAGGCAGCAGUGGGGAAUCUUCCGCAAUGGACGAAAGUCUGACGGAGCAACGCCGCGUGAGUGAUGACGGCCGUCGGGUUGGAAAGCUCUGUUAAUCGGGACGAAAGGCCUUCUUGCGAAUAGGGAGAAGGAUUGACGGUACCGGAAUAGAAAGCCACGGCUAACUACGUG